AUCCCGUGAACCAUCGAGUCUUUGAACGCAAGUUGCGCCCGAAGCCUCGGCUGAGGGCACGCCUGCCUGGGUGUCACACGNCGCCUCGCCUCCAAAACCUUCCCCCCCGUUGUGGUGAUGGUACGGAUGCGGAAGAUGGCCUCCCGUGACCACGAGCCACGGAUGGCCCAAGUCUCUGCUGGGGGAGCGAAGCGCCACGGCUUUCGGUGGUCGGCACUGCCCUCGAGGCAAUCAGUCAAUCAAGCCCGUGGCAUCCGCGACGGCCCCCAGCGUACGACCCUAAUCAUCAAAUCAACCAACGCGACCUCAGGUCAGGCGGGGCUACCCGCUGAGUUUAAGCAUAUCAAUAAGCGGAGG
rnacentral:rRNA from 1 species